rnacentral:rRNA from 1 species
UGGCGAACGGGUGAGUAACGCGUGAGGAACCUGCCUCAAAGAGGGGGACAACAGUUGGAAACGACUGCUAAUACCGCAUAAGCCCACGGGUCGGCAUCGACCAGAGGGAAAAGGAGCAAUCCGCUUUGAGAUGGCCUCGCGUCCGAUUAGCUAGUUGGUGAGGUAACGGCCCACCAAGGCAACGAUCGGUAGCCGGACUGAGAGGUUGAACGGCCACAUUGGGACUGAGGCACGGCCCAG